AAAAUAUUUAUUUUGAGCUUAGUUAUGAUCCUUUAAAGUUGGUGGCCUAGAAAACCAAUUUUUAAAUUUACUAGGCCACCA
ensembl:ncRNA C43D7.16 ncRNA